AGUGAACGCUGGCGGCGUGCCUAAUACAUGCAAGUCGAACGGAGAUUAAGUAGCUUGCUAUUUAAUCUUAGUGGCGCACGGGUGAGUAAUAUAUAGCUAACUUGCCCAUUACUAAGGGGCAACAGUUGGAAACGACUGCUAAUACCUUAUACUCCGUAUCUAUAUAAGUAGAUACGGGAAAGUUUUUCGGUAAUGGAUAGGGCUAUAUCGUAUCAGCUAGUUGGUAAGGUAAUGGCUUACCAAGGCUAUGACGCGUAACUGGUCUGAGAGGAUGAUCAGUCACACUGGAACUGAGACACGGUCCAGACUCCUACGGGAGACAGCAGUAGGGAAUAUUGCUCAAUGGGGGAAACCCUGAAGCAGCAACGCCGCGUGGAGGAUGACACUUUUCGGAGCGUAAACUCCUUUUCUUGGGAAAGAAUUAUGACGGUACCCAAGGAAUAAGCACCGGCUAACUCCGUG
rnacentral:rRNA from 1 species